AACUUUGUUGACAGAUUGCGAUUCGUGCUCGCGUCGUCUGUCAAAGAUGAUUUGCAAAUUUUUCAUACUAGAAGCAAGGAGAUUGAAAAUUAUUCACAGGAAAAACAGUUUGUUUUGAGGCAAACAAAAUCAACAUUCAAUUAAAUAAAAAAGAGAGUUAUGGAAUUUACGUGCUUUUCCAUGCAUUGUAAGAUUUCCAGAAUAUAGAACAUGUAGUUCCUGAUAAAAAAAACACCAAAAGAUUGCUAAGAUAAAACUGUUGAGUAACUAUUUGUAAUACAGAAUGCAUCAAGAUGGUGGUAUGCUACAUAUAUUAUAUUGAUACUAUGACAGAUGAGAAAAGAAACUGAAGACAUAACCAAAUGCUGAAGUCAGCAAAGAUUAAGAUAUAAAGAGUAGAUAUUUUCCUGAAGAUCUCAUUUAUGUCUCGAAUGUGAAGGGAACAGAAGCUAUCAUGAUGAUUCUUUAAAGAAAAGAUACAGAAACACAAGCUCCUGUAGACACUGACUUAUGAAAAAGAAGAUGUUUUUGCAAUGAAUAUGUGUGAAUGUGAUAAAUUAUGGCAAAUCAACAUGGUCAAUUAACAACAAUAUGUUCUACACAUUUCCUAGAUUUAUAAGUUUCAUAACAUUUAGUUGAGGCAAACUAAAGUUAGAUAACGGAAAACGAAA